ensembl:lncRNA
GAGUCAGACCCCGGAGGGCAGGGGCCGGGGGAGGGGGAGGGGGUUCGCGAUCGCCACCGCGGAAGCCCAGUCUGUCGGGGAUGGGGUGCCACCGGACGUGUCAGCUCCCGGGAGUGCGCGGCGCGGCGCGGACUAGAGCCCGGCCGCGGGCGUGGGUCUCCCGAGGGCGCUUCCACCCCUCCCCCCACCCCGUGCUGCGACGCGCUCGGGGGUCGCUACAAAUUCCACCUUCUAAGAUUCCUCCCCGGAGCCACGCGGACCGGCGGCCACUGGGUCCCCAACUGCCCGGGCCCGUGCGGGCGGUAUGGCCCAGGGACGCAGACCUCGUAGGAACAAGAUGGCUCGAAAAGUGAAAAAGCUGAGGAUCGACGUCCGCGGCUGGCUACGGAAGACAAACACCGGGAGCCCGAGCGCGGGGAGAGAGAGCUCCUGGGCAGGGGCCGGCGAUGGCGCGGAGGAUCCGCCGGGCCGGCCCCGCACGCCCUUCUCGGCCGUGCAGAUACUAGCCCUGAGAUGCAAAGACCCAUGGCAGAUGUCACGGCGAAAGCAACUGGAAGGCGCAGCAAUGCAUACGGUGAACGUGGAAAUUUCGCUCGCUAGUCCCUGGGAAAUCUCACUGUCACCUCAUGAAUAGACAUCACCGGCCUUUCCCAGAAUGGAGGCAUUCCGGCUUCUGCAAUGGACAAUUAGGCUGAAGAAUUUUUGCUCAGAAGGCAGCCAGCAGCUGGUCAGGGGUGGACAUUAAGAAAAAAUUUCUGGGGCGCCUGGGUGGCUCAGUCGGUUGAGCGUCCGACUUCGGCUCAGGUCAUGAUCUCACGGUUCAUGAGUUUGAGCCCCGCGUCGGGCUCUGUACUGCUAGCUCAGAGCCUGGAGCCUGCUUCUGCUUCUGUGUCUCCCUCUCUCUCUGCCCCUAACCCACUCGCAUUCUGUCUCUGUCUCUCUCAAAAAUAAAUAAAAAUCAAAAAAAAAAAAAAAAAAAGGAAAGAAAACAUUUCUGCCGUGGGCUGGAGGUGGGGUUGGAUGAUAAUCCCACCAGUCUAAAAUUCUAACUGGAACACAAUCCAGUUGUCUUCUACGAUUCUAAAUGAACAGAGGGGAUCAAAAUUAUACAGCACUUCAUAUUAGCCAGGCACUGUUCUGAGUACAUGCUAAAUAUUUAUCCAUUUUAAUCUUCAUAGCAACCCGAUGAGAUAGAUACUCUUAUUACCCCCUUUCACAGAGGAAGAAAUCAAAACACAAGUCAUUUACCCCCAAAUCCCACAGCUGGCGAGUCGCGAGGCUCGGGUUUGAACCUGCACAGCCUGGGGCCAGGUUCUUUCUUCCUCCAUAUUCUAGACUAGAGACCGGCGACCAGAGGAGACGGUAGGGAAAGUUGGCCUAACUCUCAGGGUUUCCAUUUUCCCACUUUUGAAACGGAAUUUUAAAAAUCGUAGCUAUGAAACUGGGGCGCCUGGGUGGCCUCAGUUGGUGAAGCGGCCGACUUCGGCUCAGGUCACGAUCUCGCAGUUUGUGGGUUCGAGCCCUGCAUCGGGUUCGGUGCUGACAGCUCAGAGCCCGGAGCCGGAUUCCGAUUCUGUGUCUCCGGCUCUCUCUGCCCCUCCCCCACUCCUGCUCUGUCUCAAAAUUAAAUAAACAUUAAAAAAAAUUUUAAACAUCAUAGCUAUGAAACUAAGAACAGAAAGGGAGUUUCCUCAACUCGACAAAGGGCAUUUAUGAGAAAAACUACAGCUAACUUCAUACUUACUGGUGAAGGGCUGAAUAUCCGC